GGAUCAAGUUUUUACCGCACUCUCUUUCCCUUUUGAGAAUUUGUUGAUUCUUCAGAAAAAGGAAUUUGAUUCUGAUUUGGGGGAGGAUUUUGAUUUUCAAAUUUGGAAUUGAUUGGAGGGUCGAUUGGGGAUUUCACAAGAAAUGAAAAACCCAAUCUCCCUCAUAUAUAUAUUCUUUUCUUGUUUAUUGUUAAGAGGGGUUUUUUUAGGAGCUCUCGGAUUCAAAUUUUAGACAAAAAUCGAGAGAUUAAUAAAGCCAAGGAUUCCGUUGGAGAAAAUCACUGGAAAUUUUAG
rnacentral:misc_RNA from 1 species